GGUUAAGCGACUAAGCGUACACGGUGGAUGCCCUGGCAGUCAGAGGCGAUGAAGGACGUGCUAAUCUGCGAUAAGCGUCGGUAAGGUGAUAUGAACCGUUAUAACCGGCGAUUUCCGAAUGGGGAAACCCAGUGUGUUUCGACACACUAUCAUUAACUGAAUCCAUAGGUUAAUGAGGCGAACCGGGGGAACUGAAACAUCUAAGUACCCCGAGGAAAAGAAAUCAACCGAGAUUCCCCCAGUAGCGGCGAGCGAACGGGGAGCAGCCCAGAGCCUGAAUCAGUGUGUGUGUUAGUGGAAGCGUCUGGAAAGGCGCGCGAUACAGGGUGACAGCCCCGUACACAAAAAUGCACAUGCUGUGAGCUCGAUGAGUAGGGCGGGACACGUGGUAUCCUGUCUGAAUAUGGGGGGACCAUCCUCCAAGGCUAAAUACUCCUGACUGACCGAUAGUGAACCAGUACCGUGAGGGAAAGGCGAAAAGAACCCCGGCGAGGGGAGUGAAAAAGAACCUGAAACCGUGUACGUACAAGCAGUGGGAGCACGCUUAGGCGUGUGACUGCGUACCUUUUGUAUAAUGGGUCAGCGACUUAUAUUCUGUAGCAAGGUUAACCGAAUAGGGGAGCCGAAGGGAAACCGAGUCUUAACUGGGCGUUAAGUUGCAGGGUAUAGACCCGAAACCCGGUGAUCUAGCCAUGGGCAGGUUGAAGGUUGGGUAACACUAACUGGAGGACCGAACCGACUAAUGUUGAAAAAUUAGCGGAUGACUUGUGGCUGGGGGUGAAAGGCCAAUCAAACCGGGAGAUAGCUGGUUCUCCCCGAAAGCUAUUUAGGUAGCGCCUCGUGAAUUCAUCUCCGGGGGUAGAGCACUGUUUCGGCAAGGGGGUCAUCCCGACUUACCAACCCGAUGCAAACUGCGAAUACCGGAGAAUGUUAUCACGGGAGACACACGGCGGGUGCUAACGUCCGUCGUGAAGAGGGAAACAACCCAGACCGCCAGCUAAGGUCCCAAAGUCAUGGUUAAGUGGGAAACGAUGUGGGAAGGCCCAGACAGCCAGGAUGUUGGCUUAGAAGCAGCCAUCAUUUAAAGAAAGCGUAAUAGCUCACUGGUCGAGUCGGCCUGCGCGGAAGAUGUAACGGGGCUAAACCAUGCACCGAAGCUGCGGCAGCGACGCUUAUGCGUUGUUGGGUAGGGGAGCGUUCUGUAAGCCUGCGAAGGUGUGCUGUGAGGCAUGCUGGAGGUAUCAGAAGUGCGAAUGCUGACAUAAGUAACGAUAAAGCGGGUGAAAAGCCCGCUCGCCGGAAGACCAAGGGUUCCUGUCCAACGUUAAUCGGGGCAGGGUGAGUCGACCCCUAAGGCGAGGCCGAAAGGCGUAGUCGAUGGGAAACAGGUUAAUAUUCCUGUACUUGGUGUUACUGCGAAGGGGGGACGGAGAAGGCUAUGUUGGCCGGGCGACGGUUGUCCCGGUUUAAGCGUGUAGGCUGGUUUUCCAGGCAAAUCCGGAAAAUCAAGGCUGAGGCGUGAUGACGAGGCACUACGGUGCUGAAGCAACAAAUGCCCUGCUUCCAGGAAAAGCCUCUAAGCAUCAGGUAACAUCAAAUCGUACCCCAAACCGACACAGGUGGUCAGGUAGAGAAUACCAAGGCGCUUGAGAGAACUCGGGUGAAGGAACUAGGCAAAAUGGUGCCGUAACUUCGGGAGAAGGCACGCUGAUAUGUAGGUGAGGUCCCUCGCGGAUGGAGCUGAAAUCAGUCGAAGAUACCAGCUGGCUGCAACUGUUUAUUAAAAACACAGCACUGUGCAAACACGAAAGUGGACGUAUACGGUGUGACGCCUGCCCGGUGCCGGGAGGUUAAUUGAUGGGGUUAGCGCAAGCGAAGCUCUUGAUCGAAGCCCCGGUAAACGGCGGCCGUAACUAUAACGGUCCUAAGGUAGCGAAAUUCCUUGUCGGGUAAGUUCCGACCUGCACGAAUGGCGUAAUGAUGGCCAGGCUGUCUCCACCCGAGACUCAGUGAAAUUGAACUCGCUGUGAAGAUGCAGUGUACCCGCGGCAAGACGGAAAGACCCCGUGAACCUUUACUAUAGCUUGACACUGAACAUUGAGCCUUGAUGUGUAGGAUAGGUGGGAGGCUUUGAAGUGUGGACGCCAGUCUGCAUGGAGCCGACCUUGAAAUACCACCCUUUAAUGUUUGAUGUUCUAACGUUGACCCGUAAUCCGGGUUGCGGACAGUGUCUGGUGGGUAGUUUGACUGGGGCGGUCUCCUCCUAAAGAGUAACGGAGGAGCACGAAGGUUGGCUAAUCCUGGUCGGACAUCAGGAGGUUAGUGCAAUGGCAUAAGCCAGCUUGACUGCGAGCGUGACGGCGCGAGCAGGUGCGAAAGCAGGUCAUAGUGAUCCGGUGGUUCUGAAUGGAAGGGCCAUCGCUCAACGGAUAAAAGGUACUCCGGGGAUAACAGGCUGAUACCGCCCAAGAGUUCAUAUCGACGGCGGUGUUUGGCACCUCGAUGUCGGCUCAUCACAUCCUGGGGCUGAAGUAGGUCCCAAGGGUAUGGCUGUUCGCCAUUUAAAGUGGUACGCGAGCUGGGUUUAGAACGUCGUGAGACAGUUCGGUCCCUAUCUGCCGUGGGCGCUGGAGAACUGAGGGGGGCUGCUCCUAGUACGAGAGGACCGGAGUGGACGCAUCACUGGUGUUCGGGUUGUCAUGCCAAUGGCACUGCCCGGUAGCUAAAUGCGGAAGAGAUAAGUGCUGAAAGCAUCUAAGCACGAAACUUGCCCCGAGAUGAGUUCUCCCUGACCCUUUAAGGGUCCUGAAGGAACGUUGAAGACGACGACGUUGAUAGGCCGGGUGUGUAAGCGCAGCGAUGCGUUGAGCUAACCGGUACUAAUGAACCGUGAGGCUUAACCU
ncrna:23S ribosomal RNA from Escherichia coli (PDB 5T9G, chain 01)